AGAAGUCUAAGAUGCCACCACCAGCAUCAUCACAGGAAUAUGUCCCCCCAGAUGGUGGUUGGGGCUGGGCAGUGGUCAUAGCAGCUUUUGUCUCGAUUGGAUUUUCUUAUGCAUUUCCCAAAGCCAUAACUGUGUUCUUUAAGGAGAUUCAGGAUAUCUUUGACACCUCAUACAGUCAGAUCGCAUGGAUCUCUUCAACAACAUUGGCUGUUAUGUACGCUGGAGUUGGAAAACAGUGGCCUUCUCCAAAGUAGAGAGAAUCUAACCAUCUUCCCGUGAUGUUCAACUGCACUACCAUCACUGCAUCCCCCACUGGCAACAUCCUGGAGGUUACCAUUGACCAGAAACUUACCUCAUAGCAUCUACAUAAAUACUGUGGAUGUAGGAAUAGUCAGAGGCUGGGACUCCUGUGACAUAACUCAUCUCUCCUGUCCCCAGUGCCCAUCCACCAUCCUCAAAGUGCAAAUCAGGAUUGUGAUGGAAUACUCUUUACUUACCUGGGUGAGUAUGGCAUCAAUAACACUUAAGAAGCUCACCCUUCACCUGGACAUGGUAGCAGCAUGUAUAUCAUCAAAAAGAUGCACUUCUGCAAAACUUGUCAAACUUCCUUUGCCAGCACCUUCUAAAUCCACAACAUCUACCAGCUUGAAGAACAAAGAUGCAUGGGAACACCACCAUCUUCAGGUUCCCUUCCAAGUUGCAGACCAUCCUGAUUCAAUUUCUAUCACUGUUUCUUCACUGUAAUGGGGACAAAAUCCUAGAACUCCAUUCUGAACCAGCGCUAUGAGUGUUGCUGUUCCAAAAAGAUUGCAGGAGUUCAAAAAGUCAGCUCACCAUCAUCUUCUCAAGGUCAGUUAGACAUAAAUGCUGACCUUACCAGUGAUACUGACCUCCUAUGAGUGCUGUAAAAUAAAUUAACAUGGGAUAGAAGCAGUUAAUAAAAGAUAUUGACUGUG